UAACUUGCCCUUGGGUCUGGGAUAACCCCUGAGAAAUUGGGGACAAUACCGGAUAGGGCAUCGAUMGCUGGAAUGUGCGAUGUCCAAAAGCUGAGGCGCCCAAGGAUAGGUCUGCGGCCGAUUAGGUUGUUGUUGAUGUAAUGGAUCAACAAGCCUGCAAUCGGUACGGGUUGUGARAGCAAGAGCCCGGAGAUGGGUUCUGAGAAAAGAACCCAGGUCCUACGGGACGCAUCAGGCGCGAAAACUUUACAAUGUGCGAAAGCACGAUAAGGGAACUCUGAGUGCCUCCUAUGGAGGCUGUUCAGGUGUCUAAAAAGCACUUGAAGUAAGGGCUGGGYAAGACCGGUGCCAGCCGCCGCGGUAACACCGGCAGCCCAAGUGGUAGCCACGAUUAUUGGGUCUAAAGCGUCCGUAGCCGGCCAGGUAAGUUCUUUGGGAAAUUUAACCGCUCAACGGUUAAGCUUUCAGGGAAUACUGCUUGGCUUGGGACCGGGAGAGGUCAGAGGUACUUCAAGGGUAGGGGUGAAAUCCGUUAAUCCUUGAGGGACCACCAGUAGCGAAGGCGUCUGACCAGACCGGGUCCGACGGUGAGGGACGAAGGCUAGGGUCGCGAACCGGAUUAGAUACCCGGGUAGUCCUAGCUGUAAACGAUGCGGGCCAGGUGUUGGCAUUACUGCGAGUGAUGUCAGUGCCGAAGGGAAGCCGUUAAGCCCGCCAUCUGGGGAGUACGGUCGCAAGGCUGAAACUUAA
rnacentral:rRNA from 1 species